rnacentral:rRNA from 1 species
GGAUCAUUAGUGAAUAUAGGAUGUCCAACUUAACUUGGAGUCCGAACUCUCACUUUCUAACCCUGUGCAUUUGUUUGGGAUAGUAGCCUCUCGGGGUGAACUCCUAUUCACUUAUAAACACAAAGUCUAUGAAUGUAUUUAAUUUAUAAGAAAAUAAAACUUUCAACAACGGAUCUCUUGGCUCUCGCAUCGAUGAAGAACGCAGCGAAAUGCGAUAAGUAAUGUGAAUUGCAGAAUUCAGUGAAUCAUCGAAUCUUUGAACGCACCUUGCGCUCCAUGGUAUUCCGUGGAGCAUGCCUGUUUGAGUGUCAUGAAUACUUCAACCCUCCUCUUUUCUAGUGAAAGAGAAGGUGCUUGGUUUCUGAGCGUUUUGCUGGCCUCACGGUCGAGCUCGCUCGUAAUGCAUUAGCAUCCGCAAUCGAACUUCGGAUUGACUUGGCGUAAUAGACUAUUCGCUGAGGAAUUCUAAUCUUCGGAUUAGAGCCGGGUUAGAUUAAAGGAAGCUUCUAAUCCUUAUGUCUAUAUUUUAAGAUUAGAUCUCAAAUCAGGUAGGACUACCCGCUGAACUUAAGCAUAUCAUUAAGCGGAGGAAA